rnacentral:rRNA from 1 species
UUAUCCUUCGGGAUAAGUUAGCGGCGGACGGGUGAGUAACACGUAGGUAACCUGCCUAUAAGACUGGGAUAACUAUCGGAAACGAUAGCUAAGACCGGAUAACUGGUUUUCUCGCAUGAGAGAAUUAUGAAACACGGAGCAAUCUGUGGCUUAUAGAUGGGCCUGCGGCGCAUUAGCUAGUUGGUAGGGUAACGGCCUACCAAGGCGACGAUGCGUAGCCGACCUGAGAGGGUGAACGGCCACACUGGGACUGAGACACGGCCCAGACUCCUACGGGAGGCAGCAGUAGGGAAUCUUCCGCAAUGGACGCAAGUCUGACGGAGCAACGCCGCGUGAGUGAUGAAGGUUUUCGGAUCGUAAAGCUCUGUUGCCCUAGACGAACAGCAAGGAGAGUAACUGCUCUUUGUGUGACGGUAUAGGAGAAGAAAGCCCCGGCUAACUACGUGCCAGCAGCCGCGGUAAUACGUAGGGGGCAAGCGUUGUCCGGAAUUAUUGGGCGUAAAGCGCGCGCAGGCGGUCAAUUAAGUUGGGUGUUUAAGCCCGGGGCUCAACCCCGGUUCGCAUCCAAAACUGGUUGACUUGAGUGUAGGAGAGGAAAGUGGAAUUCCACGUGUAGCGGUGAAAUGCGUAGAGAUGUGGAGGAACACCAGUGGCGAAGGCGACUUUCUGGCCUAUAACUGACGCUGAGGCGCGAAAGCGUGGGGGAGCAAACAGGAUUAGAUACCCUGGUAGUCCACGCCGUAA